rnacentral:rRNA from 1 species
UGAAGAGGAAAGAGCUCAAAGUUGGAAACUGUUUGGCUUAGCUAAACCGUAUUGUAAACUGUAGAAACAUUUUCCUGGCACGCCGGAUUAAUAAGUCCUUUGGAACAAGGCAUCAUGGAGGGUGAGAAUCCCGUCUUUGAUCCGAGUAGUUGUCUUUUGUGAUAUGUUUUCAAAGAGUCAGGUUGUUUGGGAAUGCAGCCUAAAUUGGGUGGUAAAUCUCACCUAAAGCUAAAUAUUUGCGAGAGACCGAUAGCGAACAAGUACCGUGAGGGAAAGAUGAAAAGAACUUUGAAAAGAGAGUUAAACAGUAUGUGAAAUUGUUAAAAGGGAACCGUUUGGAGCCAGACUGGUUUGACUGUAAUCAACCUAGAAUUCGUUCUGGGUGCACUUGCAGUCUAUACCUGCCAACAACAGUUUGAUUUGGAGGAAAAAAUUAGUAGGAAUGUAGCCUCUCGAGGUGUUAUAGCCUACUAUCAUACUCUGGAUUGGACUGAGGAACGCAGCGAAUGCCAUUAGGCGAGAUUGCUGGGUGCUUUCGCUAAUAAAUGUUAGAAUUUCUGCUUCGGGUGGUGCUAAUGUUUAAAGGAGGAACACAUCUAGUAUAUUUUUUAUUCGCUUAGGUUGUUGGCUUAA